UAAAAGCUUGGUCCUGACUUUACUAUCAACUCUAGCUAAAAUUACACAUGCAAGUAUCCGCACUCCCGUGAGAAUGCCCUACAGUUCUCUUAAGAGAACAAGGAGCUGGUAUCAGGCUCAAACCUUAGCCCACGACACCUUGCUUAGCCACACCCCCAAGGGAAUUCAGCAGUGAUAAAUAUUAAGCCAUAAGUGAAAACUUGACUUAGUUAAAGCUAAUAGGGCCGGUUAAACUCGUGCCAGCUACCGCGGUUAUACGAGGGGCCCAAGUUGUGAGACAUCGGCGUAAAGGGUGGUUAAGGAAGAUCAAAACUAAAGCCGAAUACUGUCAAGGCUGUUAUACGCACCCGACAGUAAGAAGAUCAAUCACGAAAGUGGCUUUAUGCCCCCUGAACCCACGAAAGCUAGGAUACAAACUGGGAUUAGAUACCCCACUAUGCUUAGCCCUAAACAUUGAUGGGGCACUACUUUCCCCAUCCGCCCGGGAACUACGAGCAUAAGCUUAAAACCCAAAGGACUUGGCGGUGCUUUAGAUCCACCUAGAGGAGCCUGUUCUAGAACCGAUAACCCCCGUUAAACCUCACCCUUCCUGGCCUUUUUCCGCCUAUAUACCACCGUCGUCAGUUUACCCUAUGAGGGAUUAAUAGUAAGCAAGAUUGGCACCAGCCUAAAACGUUAGGUCGAGGUGUAGUGCAUGGAAGGGGAAGAAAUGGGCUACAUUCGCUGACUCAGCGAAAACGAACGACAAAAUGAAAUGUUUGUCUAAAGGAGGAUUUAGAAGUAAGUAGAAAAUAGAGUGUUUUACUGAAACUGGCCCUAAAGCACGCACACACCGCCCGUCACUCUCCCCAAAAACCCUAACUUAUAUACCUAAAACGUAAAAUUAAACAAGGGGAGGCAAGUCGUAACAUGGUAAGUGUACCGGAAGGUGCACUUGGAAAACAAU
rnacentral:ncRNA from 1 species